rnacentral:rRNA from 1 species
AUUGAACGCUGGCGGCAUGCUUUACACAUGCAAGUCGAACGGUAACAGGCCGCAAGGUGCUGACGAGUGGCGAACGGGUGAGUAAUGCAUCGGAACGUGCCCAGUCGUGGGGGAUAACGCAGCGAAAGCUGUGCUAAUACCGCAUACGAUCUGUGGAUGAAAGCGGGGGACCGUAAGGCCUCGCGCGAUUGGAGCGGCCGAUGUCAGAUUAGGUAGUUGGUGGGGUAAAGGCUCACCAAGCCGACGAUCUGUGGCUGGUCUGAGAGGACGACCAGCCACACUGGGACUGAGACACGGCCCAGACUCCUACGGGAGGCAGCAGUGGGGAAUAUUGGACAAUGGGCGGAAGCCUGAUCCAGCAAUACCGCGUGUGUGAAGAAGGCCUGAGGGUUGUAAAGCACUUUCGUUUGGGAGGACGAGAUUUAAACAAAUAAUUUAAAUGGAAGACGUUACCAAAAUAAGAAGCACCGGCUAACUCUGUGCCAGCAGCCGCCGUAAGAC